AUGUUACUUACAGUACCAGUGCUGAUCUUAUGGAUGCGAAUAUCACAAAUAAAUGGACAAGAGAUAAAGCAAAAUCCUCAAUUUUUGCUUCUACAAGAAGGAAAGGACUUCACCAUUUCCUGCAAUGCCUCAAGCAUUUUAACCAGCUUCCAGUGGUACAAACAGAGGCCUGGGGGUGGUCCUGUUCUCCUGAUCUCGUUACUUAAGGGCGGAGAAGUAAAGCAGAAAAGACUGACAGCUCGGUUUGGAGAGUCUAGAAAGGACAGUUUUCUGCACAUGGAGGCCUCCCAGACUGCAGAUGCAGGAACCUAUUUCUGCGCAGGGACACAGUGCUCUCAGAGCACCUGCAACUGGUCCCCAAACCUUGAUGUAGAGAUCCAGGAACAACCCUUCUUAUCUGUCCUUAGGAAGAAGUCAUAGAAAGCUGAAGUCAUGGGGUGUCUGGUGGCUCAGUCAGUUACGUGUCUGCCUUCAACUCAGGUCAUGAUCCCAGGGUCCUGGAAUGGAGUCCCACAUCUGGCUCCCUGUUUCAUGGGGAUCCU